rnacentral:pre_miRNA from 1 species
UCACGUCUCUGUAUUUCGAGCCAGGAGACUGAGGUAAGAGGAUGCAACGUUANNNNNUAACGUUGCAUCCUCUUACCUCAGUCUCCUGGCUCGAAAUACAGAGACGUGA